rnacentral:lncRNA from 1 species
CUAAAAUCAAAACCAAAACCACCUAAUUGCCAACUGCCAUCGCCUCAACAUUGUGGUUGCUACCGACUCCCACAUUAUUGUAGGGUUUAGGGUUCUUAAAAUUUUCACUCUCCAUUUCUCUUCUUUACUAUGCUCCCAAGUAAAUUUAUGAUUUCAAAUUUAGGAAAAGGAAAAGGAAAUAUAAUUUUGUAUUGAGGAAUUCCUCAUUAAUGGCCACGAUUGAUUUGUUCUGCUAUCCUUCACCUUUUUUCAUUGAUAAACCUAGUCUCAAAGUUGAUUCCAAUCGUUGUUCAGUGGAAGGACAACUAAGAAGGAGUGAAAUUACGUAUAUGGCUUCCUUUGUGCUUGUAAAAAAGGAAAGUCAGUAGCAUUUGGACUCCCAAUCAAACCUUCUCGCCACUGCCACUUACACCACAACAAUGGCAAAGCCUAAAAAUCAAAUCUGAUUUCGAAAUCAUAUCCGUCCUUGGUGAAUCCCAGAAUUCUUUUUUCUCUUUCAUUUGUUUAAAUUAGGUGAAUUAGAAAUGGC